CUUUUAUAACUAUACGAUAAUAUGUAUCUAUACAUAUGUAAACUUCUAAUGAUUGAAUUCCUGUAUUUCUAGCAUAUUUUAAACUUAUCUAGUGACAGGACCCACAUUGAUAACAGUUCUUUAUUGAACUGACGUGAACAUCCUGUAUAAAUAUUCGUUUAAUAAUAAAAUAAAUAAAAUAAAAUAAUAAAUUCUCGGCUCAUAUGAUCAGCCCCUUACCAGAAAAAAAUGAAAUGUUGAACUUGUGUCUCUAAUUUAAAUCUUCAGGUAUUCUAUAAAAGGAAGCUUUCGCGUCGUAAUAUAGAGUUACAUGUAUUAUAUAAAGUACUUGACAUGCACAUUAUCUUAUCUAAGAUCUUGAUGUUCGUGUGCCACUAGUAAUUAUCGUCAUUUUGUUUGAGGAGUAUCGUUGUUUUGCCUGACCGGCCGAGAUGUUGUUUAAUCACAAACGUAGGUCAUAUCAGCAUAUGAUAUAUUGCAUAAUGAAGAUGUAAAGAUAAAGCCUUAUGUAAAUAUCAGUUUCGAGUAAUUGCGAAAAAGAUUGGUACCGUUGAAAUGUGAAAACAAAAAAUCAAAAAUUCCCUUUUCAAAUGCCAAAACUCCCUUUUCAAAUGCCAGAACUCCCUUUUCAAAUGCCAGAACUCCCUUUUCAAAUACCAGAACUCCCUUUUCAAAUGCCAAAACUCCCUUUUCAAAUGCCAAAACUCCCUUUCCAAAUGCCAGAACUCCCUUUUCAAAUGCCAGAACUCCUUUUUCAAAUGCCAGAACUCCCUUUACAAAUGCCAAAACUCCCUUUUCAAAUGCCAAAACUCCCUUUUCAAAUGCCAAAACUCCCUUUCCAAAUGCCAGAACUCCUUUUUCAAAUGCCAGAACUCCCUUUACAAAUGCCAGAACUCCCUUUUCAAAUGCCAGAACUCCCUUUUCAAAUGCCAGAACUCCCUUUUCAAAUGCCGGAACUCCUUUUUCAAAAGCUAGAACUCCGUUUUCAAAUGCCAGAACUCCCUUUACAAAUGGCACAACUUGGUUUUCAAAUGCCAGAACUCCCUUUUUAAAAGUUAAAACAACGCCCUUUUCAAAUGCCAGAACUCCCUUUUCAAAUGCCAGAACUGAGAACUCCC